rnacentral:rRNA from 1 species
AUGACUGAGGCCUUGAAUGACAAAUAUUUAGGACUGCCGGCCAAUGUGGGUUUAGAUAAAACCGAUUGUUUCCAAUACUUAAUUGAUUGUAUUGUUCAGAGAAUUAGUAGCUGGAAGGAAAAACUUCUGUCGGCUGGAGGAAAGGAGAUCUUACUUAAAGCGGUUGUUCAAGCUAUUCCCACCUAUGCAAUGUCGGUCUUUAAAAUUCCUAAAAAAUGCAAAGGAAUUAUUGACGCGAUGGCGCAUUUUAGGUGGGGAGAUGAGGACAACCAAAGGAGGAUGCAUUGGAUGGCUUGGUGGAAAAUGUGU